AUUUGGCAGAUUGCUUGCCUGAAAAGGCUUGGGCUGGUGAUUAUUUGAUCACCAGCCU
rnacentral:sRNA from 1 species